rnacentral:miRNA from 1 species
ACCUUGUCGACCAAGAGGAUUCCCUCCUGGCCGGCGAGGUUGUACAACCUUGCCGGCCAGGAGGGAAUCCUCUUUGGUCCAUAGGCU